AAUUUAUAAGUGACAUUCUAUAUUCUAUAUUGAUUGUGAGCUUGUUUGAGCUCAGUUCCUUCUAGAAUCUGAGAAGGAAGAAGAAAGGAGGAAGAAGCUAGAGAGAAGGAAGAGAAAGAUUAGAAUAGAGAGAGAAAGAGAGUUCACAUUUUUGGGGCAGUGUUUUACAAAAUGCCCUAACUUUAUGUUUACAUAGUUGCAUAUCCCUACAUAUACCAAAUUAGUUGUCUAACUGACUAACUAAUUUGGUUAGUUAUUUCUAACCAUAUAGUAGGUAAAAUGACCACACUACCCUUGAUUCUAACUAAUACUUCUAACUUCUUUUUUCAUCUCAACACUCCCCUUCAAGCUAGGAGGUGCAAAAAUGUUUAAAACUCCUAGCUUGGAUAAAAGGUACUCAUGUUGAGCUCUGGGCAGUCCCUUUGUCAACAGAUCAGCUGGUUGUUCUUGGGUUGACAGGUAGUCGAUUUUGAUCAUGCCUUGCUGCAACCUCUCUCUAAUGAAGUGGCAAUCUAUUUCGAUAUGUUUUGUUCUUUCGUGAUGCACAGGAUUGGCAGCAAUUUGAAUAGCUGCUUUGCUGUCACUAUAUAUCUGCACUGGUACCUUCAUUUCAGCAUCAACUUCUUUCAACAUUCCCAGCAGCCACACAAGUUCUGAAAUAGUAGAGGCCAUACUUCUAUAUUCAGCUUCAGCUGAACUUCUGGACACUGUGGUUUGUUUCUUGGCUUUCCAUGAAAUAAGAGAUUUUCCCAUCUUGAUCAAGUAGCCUGUGACUGAUUUCCUGGUUGCCUUUUCAGAUACUUAACUACUCUUAGAGCUGCAUCCAUGUGGGACUUCUUUGGCUGAUUUAGGAACUGACUUAAUGUUUGGGUGCUGAAGGCUAUAUCUGGCCUUGUCAUGUUGAGGUGUUCCUGCUGGCUUGGCUGCAGUCAUCCCUACUUCUGCUAUCAGAUCAAGUGUAUACUUCCUCUGAUGCAUAAGUAUUCCUGCUUUGGAUCUUGAAAAUUCAAUCCCCAAGAAGUAUUUGAGCUCCCCUAAGUCCUUCAUCUUGAAUGCACUUUGUAGAGCUUUCUUUGUCUCUUCUAUCAACUUUAGGCUGCUACCUGUGACCAACAUGUCAUCUACAUACACAAGCACAAUUACAAUACCUUCUGCUGACUUGUUGAUGAACAAGGAGUAAUCAUAUUGGCUUUGUUUGAACUUGAGGGAUGUAAGAGCUUCAGAAUGCAUUGAAGACAUCUAAUUGAUGAAUGGGCCAAUUUUUGGAUGCUGCAGUGGAAAGAAUGGCCCUGACAGUCACCAUCUUCACAACAGGGGAAAAGAUCCAUCUGCAACCAAUGGGCUUCUUCCCUGCAGCUUCAGCAUAGCUGGAAGGUUCUAUCACAGAGGAAGCAGCUGCAAUAAAGUGUUGAUGAGAAGGUGAGAGGUGAGAGUAGCUUACAUAGUUGGACAGAGGAUAUUGGACAUCCUGAUUAACAUUCAAGGAGACAAAAUCCUUCAUCCAUGUGGGAGGAUGUUUAGACCUGGCAGAUCUUCUAGUGAGAGGAGGAUCAGACAUAUCAGCCUCAAUCACAUCAGUAUGUGGUUGUAUAGGCACAUAGCUUUGCUUAUCACCACCUGGAUGCACACAUGAAGCCUCUUCUGAUAAUACAGAAGGAGAAGCACCUGAGAUUAUGAAGGGAGACAGAGAAAGCUAUGUAGCUGUCUCACCUAUGUCUUGCAGGUUAUCCACAAACAGCUGCUGAGUUGCACAAUCAUCAGCCUUGGUAAAAGGAAAUAUAUUUUCUCUAAAGGAAACAUCCCUGCUAACAAAGAAUGUGUUAUUAUGCAGGUCAAACAGAA